rnacentral:rRNA from 1 species
UAGGGAAUCUUCCGCAAUGGACGAAAGUCUGACGGAGCAACGCCGCGUGAGUGAAGAAGGAUUUCGGUUCGUAAAACUCUGUUGUUAGGGAAGAAAAAAUGUAUAGUAACUAUAUACAAAAGAGACGGUACCUAACCAGAAAGCCACGGCUAACUACGUGCCAGCAGCCGCGGUAAUACGUAGGUGGCAAGCGUUGUCCGGAAUUAUUUGGCGUAAAGCGCGCGCAGGUGGUUUAGAAAGUCUGAUGUGAAAGCCCACGGCUCAACCGUGGAGGGUCAUUGGAAACUAAUAAACUGGAGUGCAGGAGAGAAAAGUGGAAUUCCUAGUGUAGCGGUGAAAUGCGUAGAGAUUAGGAGGAACACCGGUGGCGAAAGCGGCUUUUUGGCCUGCAACUGACACUGAGGCGCGAAAGCGUGGGGAGCAAACAGG